UUAUCAUUAAUUAUAUUAUUUAUCAUAUUUACAUUGUAAAGAAACAUCUAAGGCUCAAUAACUUUUAGCACUUCCUAUACAUCGGUUCACUGAUCAGACACAAAGCAUUCAACCGGGGCUACAAGGUUCAAAUUGAAAUAAUCCUUAAACAGCUUUGAAACCUUACAGCCUCUAUUUUACUGACUUGUGUGACCAGUGAACCGAUUUUUGGAAGGUGGUAAAUGCAACAAUGUACAUCUAAAUAGGUCCAUCUCCCUUGGGUAAGAGAUUUUUCCAAGGGUAAGAGGGGUUUAUAAGAGUAUAUUUUAAUCUUUAUGGAUUUUGAAACUUUAUAGUAGAUAUNAUUUUUUUCCUGGAAGAGCAGGUCUCGUAAAGAUGGCAGUGGGGUAACCAAGGAUCUUGCAGGGGAGGUUCACACAGGCAAUGAUUUGCAGAACCAAAAAAAAAGGAAUAAUGGGCAGAACUAUGGCAAGUCAUAUAGAAACUGAGAUCUAUGUAAAAGGUUUUACCUUCUUUUUGGGAGCUUGUGCGGCUGGCUUGCUAGAGAACAAACCAUCACCUUCAUCUUCCUCUUCAUCAUCUCCACCAAACAAGUCAACUGUCUUGGAGGGUUUUUUGGUAACAGGCUUGGAUGGUUCUAAGGAUACAAGAUGACAAAUCCCCAUUUAUCUAGUGCACAUGAAGAGGGCCCAGGGGNGAGUGAAAGUGAGUAGUUGAGAGAGAGGAGUUGACUGUUAUACGGAAGGAGAUCGAGACUGUCCUAGAAUCCCCUCGGGACAGCCAUAAAAAUGUAUGAAAGUAAAGUUUUAAGAAGUAUACAUAUGUAACAGCAACUGCAUACAGCACUGGAACUAUCACUGUUUCCAGUCCAUAUCAAGCUCCAUACAUUAGUGUCAAAGUUGGAGUUGAGAAAGGUCACUCCAUAUAUGGAAUCAUAUAAUUCCAUAUUUGGAUUGCGGGUCUUUACCCUGAGGUCAAAGAUGGUGGACAAGCGUGUUCGUCGGCUGGCGAAAUGGCUGAGAGACAUUUACAAGCUUGGNGAAGANGAAAAACUACAAAAAACUACAAAAACUACGAAAAAAACAAGCUUCUCCCCAGUUCCUUUUUUUAAGACUGGGAAAGAGAGCUUUGACACUCAUUGUUUGAUAUGUCACAAAAUUGGUUUUGCCUGAACCAGAAUCACCUGGUAGAACACAUUUGAUUAAAAACAUAUUGUAAUGAUAAUGUCUUAGUAUUUAUUAACCAAAGAUCAAUAUUGACUCAUUAGACAAAUGAAUGUAAGCUCUUUGGGGACUUUGCAUGUUUGAAUAAAAACAAUAAUUAAUUAACACACUUCAAUUUUUUGUUUGAUAACAAUUUGAUCUCAUGUUGGCCAAAUACAUGAGUAAUUCAUCUGAACAAAAAUGACAGUUUAUAUUUAUCAUGUCAAUAUUCUCCAUGUGUAAUAUAUAUAUAUAUAUAUAUAUCUUCAUUCAUAAUUUCUUUUAAUUCAUUGUGAUUACAAGGCCUAAUGUAAAUGAAGGAAAUAAAGACUACAGAUGCAAUCAUAAAAAAGGUUGUACCAAGAUAGCCAUAGGAUAUAAAGUUAGCUUUAAUAACAUUGAAAGUGUAGAACUAGAAAUCAUCUACAUUAU
rnacentral:lncRNA from 1 species